rnacentral:lncRNA from 1 species
GGCGAGGGGUGCUGCUGUCCCCACAAGUGGAAACCAUGUGUUCCUUCCUGAGCAGCUGAUGAGAUGCAGUCCCCUAAUUAGAGAGUGAGUCCUGCUUGAAGCCUCAAACUGAGACUCUAAUGCUAAUCAGCAUUUUCAUUCCAGUACAUUUGGCAAAAUAAAAACAGCUGUGAAGAGAGCCAGUGAAAAAGACAAGAGUCCUCAUCCUUGCCUUCUAGCCCUCCAGCUUUGGGACACAGCCAUUUCAAUUGCUUUUCCUCUCCCCCUUCUCUUUUUGACUUGCCAGGGAAUAUGAUACCUGCUAAGCAGCAUAUGCUUCCAUCUCCUGACCCCCAAAGAAACUGCCCAGGUUCCUGAUUAGGGCUGGCCCUCGGGCUCUGCUCGGGUGUCUGACAUUGCAGUUGGGCUCUGUGGCAGGAAGGAUCACACAGAUGCGAGCCACAGGGAUGCUAGAGGGUCUAUUUUCAAGAGACUGGGCUGCGAGCAAGUCACAGACAAAACCAAAGAACACAACCCAUCGCCCUAGAGCACCACUUUUCAGCUCCUGAUGGGUUUGGCCUCUGUCCUCCCUGCUUUUGUGGAUUUCUGAUUGCCAAACCUGGUGUUGCUCUGUCUACCAGGAAAAUGAACUCAAUGAAGAGAGCCAAAGGAAGUUCAGGUGCUAUAAAGCAGGACACUCUAAAAAUGAAAGUUGUUUCUGUACUUGGUUCAGCUGAUAAGAGGGAAGUAAAUCCAUCAAACAAUAAAAUAUUGAAUGUUCU